UACGUAGGGGCAGCAGUGUUCGAUUCGAUUGAUGGCGUAAAGAGCUCGUAGGCGGUUUGUCGCGUCUGCCGUGAAAGUCCGAGGCUCAACUUCGGAUCUGCGGUGGGUACGGGCAGACUAGAGUGAUGUAGGGGAGACUGGAAUUCCUGGUGUAGCGGUGAAAUGCGCAGAUAUCAGGAGGAACACCGAUGGCGAAGGCAGGUCUCUGGGCAUCUACUGACGCUGAGGAGCGAAAGCAUGGGGAGCGAACAGG
rnacentral:rRNA from 1 species